rnacentral:rRNA from 1 species
GAUGAACGCUGGCGGCGUGCCUAAUACAUGCAAGUCGAGCGAAGAGAUGAGGUGCUUGCUCCUCUGACAUUAGCGGCGGACGGGUGAGUAACACGUGGAGAACCUACCUAUAAGACUGGGAUAACUUCGGGAAACGAGAGCUAAUACCGGAUAAUAACUUUAACCGCAUGGUUCAAGAGUGAAAGAUGGUAUUGCUGUCACUUAUAGAUGGAUCGGCUCGUAAUUACCUAUUUGGUAAGGAAACGGCUUCCCAAGGCAACGUUCAUAACCGGACCUGGGAGGUGGACCGGCAACACGGGAACUGAGACACGGUCCAGACCCCUACGGGAGGAAGCAUUAGGGAAUCUUCCGCAAUGGGCGAAGUCCUGACGGAGCAACGCCGCGUGGUUAAUGAAGUUCUUCGGAUCUUAAAACUCUGUUAUUAGGGAAGAACAAAUGGGUAAGUAACUAUGCACGUCUUGACGGUACCUAAUCAGAAAGCCACGGCUAACUACGUG